rnacentral:misc_RNA from 1 species
CAACCCUCAAGCACAGCUUGGUGUUGGGCAUGGUCCCGGGGGGACCUGCCCGUAACUCGUAGGCGGCCACCGCCCGCGCCCCCAGCGUAGCAAGCUCACGCGUUCGCUCGGGGACGGUGCAUCUGGCCCGCCAGGCAAAACCCAAACCCUUCCCAAG